CUCUUGCUGAAAAUAAAGAAUAAGAGGUCCCGCCUGCCCUGUGACUAUAAGUUUAACGGCCGCGGUAUUUUGACCGUGCAAAGGUAGCGCAAUCACUUGUCUUUUAAAUGAAGACCUGUAUGAAUGGCACAACGAGGGCUUGACUGUCUCCUUUUUCAAGUCAAUGAAAUUGAUCUCCCCGUGCAGAAGCGGGGAUAGAACCAU
rnacentral:rRNA from 1 species